rnacentral:rRNA from 1 species
GUCCUGGCAGUAAAACGGUGUGCGCUUGGUGUGAGGGGAAUCGACCCCCCUUGUGCCGGAGCUAACGCGUUAAGCGCACCGCCUGGGAAGUACGGUCGCAAGACUAAAACUCAAAGAAAUUGACGGGGACCCGCACAAGCGGUGGAGUAUGUGGCUUAAUUCGAUGCAACGCGAAGAACCUUACCAAGGCUUGACAUGCAUCUCUAAGCGCGUGAAAGCGCGUGACCCUUCGGGGGAUUUGCACAGGUGCUGCAUGGCCGUCGU